rnacentral:rRNA from 1 species
CCUACGGGAGGCAGCAGUGGUGGAUAUUGCACAAUGGGGGAAACCCUGAAGCAGCGACGCCGCGUGAGUGAUGAAGUAUUUCGGUAUGUUAAGCUCUAUCAGCAGGGAAGAAAAUGACAGUACGUGACCAGGAAGCCACGACUAACUUCGUGCCAGCAGCCGCGGUAAUACGUAGGGGGCGAGCGUUAUCCGGAUUGACUGGGUGUAAUGGGAGCGUAGACGGUUAUGUAAGUCUGGAGUGAAAGCCCGUGGCCCAACCCCGGGAUUGCUGUGGAAACUGUGUAACUGGAGUACAGGAGGGGCAGGCGGAAUGCGUGGUGUAGCGGUGAAAUGCGUAGAUAUCAGGAGGAACCCCGGCGGCGAAGGCGGCCUGCUGGACUGAAACUGACGUUGAGGCUCGAAAGCGUGGGGAGCAAACAGGAUUAGAUACCCUAGUAGUC